AUGAGGUCCAGAUCGUCAGAUCGUGAGGACACACCUGCCACCUGUGCUAGUGGGAGAAGCCGUCGGCAGGCGGUACACGUGCCAGCCUGGCUCUGCUCAGGACCCCCCUUCUGCAGAGGGCCGCCACCCUCCCCUGUGUACACAACCCGACCCACUCCUCAAGGCCAAGGUCAAACCCACUUUCCCAGGAGAGCCUUUGCUGUUUCCCUGCCUCAGCCAUCUUCCCCUCUGAAUCCCCAGCACAAUUAUCUGUCCUCAUGCCCUCACCAUCUCAGCCACAUUACCAAUGCCUUAUUGCUCCCAACCUUUCGAAUUCUUUCUCUUUCUCUCUCUCUCCUUUUUUUUUUUUUUUUUUUUUUUUUUUCUUUUUAGGGCUGCCCACAGCUCAUGGCAACGCCGGAUCCUUAACCCACUGAGCAAGGCCAGGGAUCAAACCCACAACCUCAUGCCUCCUAGGCAGAUUCGUUUUCCCUGCGCCACGAUGGGAAUUCCAUGGAAUUUUUAUUGUUGAUCUACAAUGCUGUGCCAAUCUCUGCUGUAUAGUAAAGUGGCCCAGUUAUACAUAUAUAUAUACACACACAUAUACACACACACACACAUAUAUAUACAUACACGCAAUCUUUUCCAUUAUGGUUUAUCACCGGAUAUUGAAUAUAGUUCCCUGUGCUAAAGAGCAGGACCUUGUUGUUUAUUCAUUCUACAUGUAAUAGUUUGCAUCUGCUAAUCCCAAAGUCCCAACCCAUCCCUCCCUUAAACUCCUCCCCCUUGGCAACUGUAAGUCUGUUCUCCAUGUCUGUAAGUCUGUUUCUGUCUCAUAGAUAAGGACAUGUAUGUCAUAUUCUUUUUUGGUCAUGCCCAAGGCAUGUGGAAGUGCCCAGCCAGGGAUCAAACCUGCUGCACAGCAGUGACUCAAGCUGGUGCAAUGACAAAGCCAGAUUCUUAAUCCACUGCUCUAAAGGAGAAUGCCUUUUGUGUCAUAUUUUAGAUUCCACAUACAAUCAUAUGAUAUCAUAUGGUAUUUGUCUUUCUUUGUCUGACUUACUUGGUUUAGUAUGAUAAUUUCUAGGUCCAUCCAUGUUGCUGCAAAUGGCAUUAUUUCAUUUUUAUGGCUGAGUAGUAUUCCAUUCAACAAAGAAUUUUUUUAACUCACUGCUUAUGAUUUUUCCACGUGUGCAUUUAAACUUACCAUCUUUAGUCUGUAGCAGGCCAGCAAAAAUAGAUAUAACUAUAAAAUAUUUUUAAAUUUAUUUUAUUAGCUUUCUUUUCCAAAAUGCAUUUACAUAUGUCUGCCACUUUAUCCUUCUACCAUCUCAGCAGAGAAAGAUAUGCCAAACAUACUGGCCACACCCAACGCAUUUGGAAGUUCCCAGGCCAGGGACUGAACCCCAGCUGUACAGUAGCCUAUGCUGCAGCUGCGGCAAUGCUGGACCCUUUGAACCGGCUGCGUUGGUCCAGGAUAGAACCUGCGCCUCCAUAGUGACCCAAGCUGCUAUCGUCUGAUUCCUAACCCACUGUGCUGUGGCAGGAACUCCCUGAGUUCCAUUUUUUAAGAUGAGAAAUUCUUUCCUCAAGAGGUGCUGAUCUGACUUGACCAAUAUUUCACAGCAGGGACGCUGUUGCCUCUGUUUGUCACCACUAUUCAUUAUGAUGACUUCAACCAAAAAGCACACUGAAGAUAACAUUUCUCAUAAUUUAAAAAAAAAAGCAAAAUACACAAUUUAAUAAAAUAAAUCUUUUUAUGGUAAUUUUAUUUUUCAAUGAUUUUUAUUUUUUCCAUUAUAGUUGGUUUACAGUGUUCUGUCAAUUUUCUACUGUACAGUGAAGGGACCCAGUCACACACAUACAUAUACAUUCUUUUUCUCACAUUCUCCUCCAUCAUGUUCCAUCAAAAGUGACUAGAUACAGUUCCCAGGGCUAUACAGCAGGAUUUCAUUGCUCAUCCACUCCAAAUGCUUAGUUUGCAUCUCUUAACCCCAGACUCCCAGUCCCUCCCACUCCUUUCUCACCUUGGCAACCACCACAUUCACAAAAACUAAAAAGAAGAGCACACAAGCAUAAAAUAAGUGGAAAUCACCCAACCAAAAAAAGAAAGGAACAAAGGAGAAACAUAGCAUCAAAUGGAAAACAAGGUUUAAAAUGGCAAUAAAUACAUACUUACUAAUAAUUACCUUAAGCAUCAAGGGACUGAAUGCUCCAAUCAAAAGACAGAGAGUGGCAGAUUGGAUGAAAAAGCAAGAACCUACAAUCUGCUGUCUACAAGAGACUCCCCUCAGGGCAAAGGACACAUAUAGAUUGAAAGUGAAGGGAUGAGAAAAGAUACUUCAUGCCAAUGGCCUUGGAGAAUAAAAGAAAUCUUAAAACGAGCAUCUAGUAUUUAUGUAUGCCUCGGUGUUCCAAGAGAAAAACUGACAUUUGAGUUGCUCACUCAGACCCCAUGAACACGCACCUGUUUAUGUGGAAGAUUCUGUUGUGCGCCUCUGCAGACCGAGAGUGACACAGUCACGGAAUUCAAAACAGAGGUGGCCAUGCGCUGGAGUGCUACAGCAGGCAGACAAGCCAGCCUAGGAGUGUUUCUGUUAUUCUCCACUGAGGGCAUUCGGACACUUAACAAAGUAGAAAGUUCUUUACACACUGUAUCACUGAGUGUGGCUCCAGCAAAUCCCCUCCCCAAGAACCCUUCUGAAGCACUUUUUUUUUUUUUUUCCUGUCUUUUCAGAUCUAAUGUCUAGCUCCCAGUCCAGUAUAGGGGGGGAAAAAUGCUGAUGUUAAAAAAGAGUAAAACUGGGAGUUCCCAGUACGGCUCAUUGGGUUGCAAGCCCGACUAGCAUCCAUGAGGAUGAGGGUUCAAUCCCUGGCCCGGCUCAGUGGGUUAGGAAUCCAGCAUUUCCAAGAGCUGCGGUGUAGGUCACAAACACGGCUCAGAUCCUGCCCUUGCUGUGGCUGUGGUGUAGGCCAGAAGCUGCAGCUCCAGUACGACCCCUAGCCUGGGAACUUCCAUAGGCUGCAAAACAAAACAAAAAAACGGACAGCUGUAGAAGUCACCAGUAAGGCUUUUUGGUUAUGGGUCAUCUUACCAGUCCCAUGGCUGUGUUCACAGUAACUGUGAGGUAAUUUCUACGGGAAAGCUCUACCUGAAGACAAUACAUGAUCAGAGGUGGGAGGUGAAAUAAAUUUACAUCAUCUGAAAAUUCACCUGGUCUGAUCACGCGGGAAUACAGAGUUGGAAAUGACUAACGGCAAAGCAAUUUAAAUAUUCUUUUUUUUUUUUUUUUUUUUUUUUCUUUUUUCAGGCUUUAGCUUUGCAGCUAGCAUCUUCUAUUUAGCCCUUUUUUUAUCCUGCCCUACAGCCUAGUUCCCAACUUGAUUUUGAGACUCAGAGCUGCCUCUGUAAUGGUCUGUGUUGAGAGAUUUCUGUUUCCUGUAUUGCACAAGGCAAGCGUAUAAAAAACUGUGCUCAGGAGUUCCCAUCAGGGCUCAGUGGAAACGAACCCGACUAGCACC
rnacentral:lncRNA from 1 species